GAUGAACGCUGGCUACAGGCUUAACACAUGCAAGUCGAGGGGAAACGACGGGGAAGCUUGCUUCCCCGGGCGUCGACCGGCGCACGGGUGAGUAACGCGUAUCCAACCUGCCUCUGACUGAGGGAUAACCCGUCGAAAGUCGGCCUAAUACCUCAUGGCAUCGUCUGCGGGCAUCCAACGACGAUUAAAGAUUUCAUCGGUCAGGGAUGGGGAUGCGUCUGAUUAGCUUGUUGGCGGGGUAACGGCCCACCAAGGCUACGAUCAGUAGGGGUUCUGAGAGGAAGGUCCCCCACAUUGGAACUGAGACACGGUCCAAACUCCUACGGGAGGCAGCAGUGAGGAAUAUUGGUCAAUGGGCGGGAGCCUGAACCAGCCAAGUAGCGUGCAGGAUGACGGCCCUAUGGGUUGUAAACUGCUUUUAUGCGGGGAUAAAGUGAGGGACGUGUCCUUCAUUGCGGGUACCGCAUGAAUAAGGACCGGCUAAUUCCGUG
rnacentral:rRNA from 1 species